rnacentral:rRNA from 1 species
GACGAACGCUGGCGGAGUGCUUAACACAUGCAAGUCGAACGGAAAGGCCCUGCUUUUGUGGGGUGCUCGAGUGGCGAACGGGUGAGUAACACGUGAGUAACCUGCCCUUGACUUUGGGAUAACUUCAGGAAACUGGGGCUAAUACCGGAUAGGAGCUCCUGCUGCAUGGUGGGGGUUGGAAAGUUUCGGCGGUUGGGGAUGGACUCGCGGCUUAUCAGCUUGUUGGUGGGGUAGUGGCUUACCAAGGCUUUGACGGGUAGCCGGCCUGAGAGGGUGACCGGCCACAUUGGGACUGAGAUACGGCCCAGACUCCUACGGGAGGCAGCAGUGGGGAAUAUUGCACAAUGGGCGGAAGCCUGAUGCAGCAACGCCGCGUGCGGGAUGACGGCCUUCGGGUGGUAAACCGCUUUCGCCUGUGACGAAGCGUGAGUGACGGUAAUGGGUAAAGAAGCACCGGCUAACUACGU